AACAGAUUAGUUAAAAAAGAGAAAGAGAACUAAGAAAAGAAGGGAGAGAAUUACUAGUCGUGAAUCCCCAAGCCCGAGACCAAUCAAAAAGAGUCCCACUAAAAGAAGCAAGCAUCUGAUCACCGGAACUAUUCAAAUCCUCAAAAGUCUGCUGAUUCCGUUCCUUCCAUAUACACCAUAGGAUGCACAACAAUACUAAGUUCCAAAUCUGAGACAAAUGCUUCCCCACCUAAUUCCACCAACCAAAAAGCAAAUCUGGGAUCGAUCUAGGUAUAACCCAAGACAAACCAAAAGUUAUUAAGGCAAAGCUCCACAACCGAUGAGCCAUCUCACAAUGAAGAAGUAAGUGGCCUACUGUCUCUCCACAAUGUCAGCACAUAAUGCACCAGUCUACCAAAACCAAUCUCCUUAAUCUCAAGUUAUCACCCGUUAAGAUCUUAUUCCAAGCUACACACCAAACAAAAAAAGAAACCCGUCUAGGUGCCUUUGCUCUCCAUAUACCUUUCCAAGAAAAGACCAUUUAGGGAGAAUCCCGCAAUUUGUUAUAAUACGAUCGGAUGUCAAACUCCCCAUUAGCUCCCAAUAUACGAAGAAAAUGCAGCCCUUCAUCCAUAUCCCAAUCAUUAAGUUCUCGAAAAAAACGAACAUCCAAAAUUCUUCUAUCCUCCACCCCCUGCCUUGACAAACAGCUUUUACAGAUGCCUCCUUAUCAAUGGCAAUACCAUACAGCCUUGGGAAAGCCAAUUGGAGAGGUUGAUCCCCAUGCCACCUAUCUUGCCAAAAUCUUACUCUAUUCCCCAACCCAACAACAAACUGACAAUUUUUGCUAAAAUCCUCUCAUCCCAUAUGAAUACCUCUCCACAAACCACACCCAUGAACUCUCCUUCCUAGCUUUGAGGUCCAUCCCCCCUAAUUUUCCCCAUAUUUCGAAACUACCACCCUCCUCCAUAACCGAUCCUCUUCCUUCCCAAACCACCACAACCAUUUUCCCAAUAAAGCCUUAUUGAAAGUAAUAAGUUUUCUUAUCCCCAAGCCACCGUUAGCUAUAGGUGCACAAACUUUAUCCCAUCCUACCAAAUGAGUCUUGCUAUCACCCCACAGAAAAUCCCUUUGCAACUUUUCAAUUUUAUUAGCCACAUAAGUAGGAAUAGUGAAUAGAGAUAGAAAAUAGGUAGGAAGACUAGAUAACAUACUCUUAAGUAACAUCAAACGACCCCCUUUAGACAAAUACAACUUCUUCCACCCGGCUAAUUUCCACUCAAUUUUUUCCAAAAUAGGAUUCCAAAUUGAAGGGAAGUUAUGCGAAGCCCUCAACGGCAUGCCAAGAUAAGACAUAGGCAAAGUUCCAACACUACAGCCCAAAAUUUCAACCAGGGCAUGCACAUCAUCAACCUCCCCUAUUGGAAUUAUUUCACUCUUGUGCACAUUGACCUUCAAACCUGUUACCGCCUGAAAACUGAGUAGCAACAACCGAAUAUGAAGAAUUUGCUCCACAUCUACAUCACAAAAUAGGAUAAUAUCGUCUGCAAACAAUAAAUGUGAAACACUUUCUCCACUACCCCUCCUACCCUCGACUUUAAAACCACGGAUCAAGCCAGCUCCCUCCACUCUUCUCAACAUCCUACUGAACACCUCAUUCAAAAUCAAAAUCAAAAUCAGCAUAGGAGAUAGCAGAUCCCCUUGUCUUAAACCCCUUGAACUACCAAAAAAAUCAGCUGGAGACCCAUUAAUUAAAACAGAGACCUGAACUAUGGAUAUACAAGUACGGAUCCACUUACACCACUUCACUCCAAAACUCAUUCUAUUCAACAAAUCCAACAAAGCCUCCCAAUUCACAUGAUCGUAGGCCUUCUCAAUAUCAACUUUACAAAUGACUCCAAGAACCCUGCUCUUCCCUCGGCUAUCUACACACUCAUUCGCAAUAAGAACCAAACCAAGGAUUUGUCUCCCACCCACAAAACUAUUCUGAGUCUCAGAGAUCAACUAAUCUAAAACCACUCUCAAACGAUUUGCCAAAACCUUAGCCAAGAUUUUAUACACACUCUCCACCAAGCUAAUAGACCGGAAAUCUCUGUGUGCUUAGAAUUGAAACCUAACAAACUAUACAAGGUUUACACUUUGCGUAAGUCCAGCAGCUUUAGCUCUUUGAAUGCACAAGCUUUAUGUGUGCUUUGAGUGUGCUUGAUUUGCCUAGCUUUUAAACUAGUUCUGUCUAUAGUAUCAAUGGGUGGAAUUCAUAGUUUUUUCAUUGAAGUUAAGCUUUUUUGGUUGAGGAAGGAGGAAAUUUUUUCUCCUUACACUUCAUGAAGUCAGUGUUCAUGGACAAGAAUGCAACAUUAUGGUUGAUGAAGAAUAUAGAACACACGGUGGUCGGAAUUAAUCCCAAACAGUUUUUUAUGUUUAGAGAAGGAGAUACCGCAUACACUUUGCAGCGGGGAGCAAACUCCUUUGGUCAGUUCUUUUUAGUGUCUGAACUCAAACUUGGUGGGCAUAGAAGAUCUGUCAUAAUUCCUAGAGGCAAAGCACAAAAUGGUUGGAAGGUCUUUGGACUGAGGAAGAUGUUGGAACCUGGUCAAUAUGCUUUAGGUGAUUCAAGCCAGGCCAAAUUUGUGUCUCAGCCACAGAGGAGAAUGUCGGGGUUUCAUCCCUCUCGGUCUUUUGUUGAGGCACUGAAGGUUCAGGUGCAGCCAAGGGAUGUGACUCACUCACAACAUUUUACAACCAAGUAUAUGGUUAAAAAUAUGAUUCAGGGGGAGUUUUUGGAGAGGCAGAAUUAGUCAAAGGGGUUGUUGGCGAUGAAUCAGAAACUUACAGGUGCUAAGGUGGGGGAUAUUCUGGUGGGCAAGCCUGAUACAAUGGUGGUGGGAGGAAGGGAUAGGAGGGAGCAGUGCAUUAAUGUGGAUACAAAAUUAGGUGAGCAAAUUCUGGUAGAAAAUAGGAAACGUAUCCCAAUAAGAUUUAGUUUGAAUUCAAAAUCAGAUGAAAAUGGGAAGAGGAGUGAUAUAAGGAGAUCAUGCUAGAUAGGGAGUGGCCUAAUUGUGGAAGUUGAUGUGGAAGGAGACAGGUUUCCUGGGACAACAGUAAAGGGGGAGUGAAAAAUUUUAAAUGGGUAUCACGGGCUCAUAUAAAGGAUGUGGUGGGCCUAGACACUAACUGUGACCAACAGGUGGGCUUCCCUAACUUAGAGCUCACAGGCCCAAUUAGGAUGGAAGUGGGUGAGAGCUCCUUGUUAGCUGACCCAAGCCCACCAAAGCCAGAAGCCCACAUGUCAGCGAUGGUGGUGAUGGCCACUGCCCUUCACAAAGCUUCAUUGAGUCAGAAUGAGUUGGGUCAACUUGGUGAGCUUCAGAAGGUGGUCGACGUCACAGUAGAUGGGGGAUCUCAAGCUGAGAAGCUACCGGCGCCAGUGAUUCAGGUGCGAAAUCAAGCAUUGGCAACGGCGACGGGUGUUGAUAACUGUGAGAUCAUGGUUUGUCAUAUCGAGACGAUGGGUAGGCUCAUGAAGCCCUCGAUGGUGCUAAGUGUACUAAUUCCGAUGGAUUUAGUGUUGAGGAGCCAUUGAUGAUAUUGGACAAACCCGAUGCAGAUCUUACCCACUCCAUGAGGAUGAUGAAGAACCCUGAUGGUGAUUAUGAGAAGAUGGUGGGUUGCCUUGAGGAGUCAUCGCUGGAGAAGGUGGGUAUCGUGUAGGGCCCAAAACAGUUAGUAGCCCAUGACGUUUAUAACUUAAGCCCGAUGACCACAAGCCCAAUUAACACAGAGGCUGGGGAAUGCUCCAACAUUUAUUCAAGCCCAUUCUCUACUCCCGAUGGGUCUAGAGAGAAGCCCACGGUAUUUCCUAAUUGUUUAGUGAUGCCAGUAGAGAUGUCGAGGAGUAAUUCUGAAGGAAGCUUCUCGGUCUCUCAAUCGCAAGUGUCUUCACAAGUAGGGGCUCUCCAGACCGAUGCAGAUGGAGGUUUGGUUACUCAUCCAUGGAGUGCUUCGCCGGUAGGAGUGUCAGGGCUGCACAGAGUAUCUUCAGAAAAUGAUUUUGGGCUCAAAAAUGCUGUCGGGUGGGAUGGUUUCUGAGGAUACGAGGUCAAUCACUCUCGAAUUUGUGUCGAGAUUGAUUGGACCAUCUUUUCCCAAGCAUUUUUUGGAGUUUUGGCGAGUUGGGUCAGUGGGUUUUGGAGCAUCGGGUCAAGAGGUAAACUCCUUUUCUAGUAAGGAACUCUUGAGCCUUUCUGGGGAGGUCAUGGUUGUGGAGGAUGUAGCUGAUUUUUCUACGGGCUUUGGUGAAACAGAACUGACAGAUUGUUUACCUCUAAGGAUUAUUGCUCCGAGCGCAUCGACAACUUCGGCAAAGUUGGAGGAGGUCAUUGAGGCAUUGAGUAUUGAGGCUAAGUUGGAUAUUUCUAGGUGGGUGAAACACAAAAUCCCUGGCUUCAGUAAAUUGGUUGGGUUGUCAAUGACUUGGCAUGAGAAGUUGUGCAUUGCUCUCUUACAAAGGCUAGAAACUGAGAUGGAGGCAGCCAAUGUGUUACACCGGAAAGGAACAAGUAGCCAAAAAGUGGCUAAGUCCAAAAACAAGGGACGUAGAGAGCUACGAAACUUGAUCUCUUCGGUGAAUUAUGAUGGGAGAUAGAUGAUUGGUUUUGUGUUGGUGUCAGUAGGUGGGGAUAUUUUUGUAGUAAUGAAGAUAAAAAUGAUUUCGUGGAAUGUUAGAGGUUUAAACGAUCCUCGGAAACGACUUGGGGUGAAGAAUUUGUUGCGGGAGUAGAAGUGUGAUGUUGUUUGUUUACAAGAGACGAAAAUUGCUAGUAUGAAUAGACAGCUAGCUUGUAGUUUGUGCAGCUGUUUCCAUAUGUGGAUUGGGCUGUUUUGAAGGCUGAUCGGAUUGCUGGUAGUAUUUUGAUUAUGUGGGAUAAAAGGGUUUUGGAUAAGGUGGAGAUUAUGGUUGGUACAUUCUCAGUUUCGGUAAAGUGGCAAGGGGUGGAGGACGGUUUCAUAUGGGCAUGUUUAAGGGUCUAUGGCCCAAAUGAGAAUAACGAGAGGGGUCACAUGUGGUAAGAGUUGGUGGGUAUUCAGCAGUAUUGGAGGAUACAGUGGUGCUGCUUUGAGGAUUUUAAUAUUGUUCGCUUUCUUAGUGAAUGUAGGGGUGAGACACGUUUAACCCUAACUAUGGAAACAUUCUCUGAAUUUGUUGAGGACCUAAACUUGAUUGAUUUGCCUUUGGAAGGAGGUAGCUAUACAUGGUCAAGUGGUACUGAUCAACCAGCGAUAUCUAGGAUUGAUAGAGCUUUGGUUACUCCAAAUUGGGAGGAACACUUCCCAAAUGUUUUUCAAAGGAUUCUACCCCGUCCUAUCUUUGACCACAGUCCAAUUCUUUUGGAGGCAAGGGGAUUGGCAAGGGGGAAAAGUCCGUUCAAAUUUGAAAAUAUGUGGUUGAAAAUAGAGGGGUUUGUGGAUAAAGUUCAAUCCUAGUGGAAUCGGCAUUCUUUGUAGGUACACCUAGUUUCGUGCUUGCCAAAAAAUUAAAGGCUCUAAAAGAGGACAUUGUACAAUGGAAUUGCUGAGAGUUUGGUAAUGUAGAGCAUCAAAAGAAACAAUUACUGGAGGAGUUGACAAAAUUAGACGCUAAGGAAGGGGAUUUAGGUCUCACUAAUGGGGAGAAAUGGCAUAGGGCAAAUUUGAGGUCCCAAAUGGAGCAUCUUCUUUCCUUGGAAGAAAUUUCUUGGAGACAAAAAUCUAGGAUGUUAUGUAUCAAGGAAGGGGAUAAUAAUACCAAGUUCUUCCAUAAAAUGGCUAACUCCCAUAGAUGGUAUAAUCAUCUGAAGACCUUGGAGGUGGAUGGGGUGGUUUUUGAGGAGGAACCCAAGGUAACUAAUCAGGUAGUCCAGUUUUAUAAAAAUUUGUACAAGGAGUCUAAAGGGUGGAGGCCUUUUGUGGAGGGUUUGGAGUUUGGUCGUAUUGGGGAUAUGGAGAGGAUUUGGCUUGAACGGAAGUUUGAGAGAGAAGAUACUUCAAGUCGUAAGUGAGUUGGAUGGGGACAAAGCUCCAGGUCCAGAUGGGUUUACUAAGGCGUUUUAUCAGCAUUGUUGGAGAGUAGUGGAGAAAGAUGUCUUAGCGGUCUUUGAAAAUGUUUUUAGAUGUCUUAGUGGAUAACUAAAAUGAGCAUUUUAGAUGGAUAAGUACAAACACAAGGAGAUAUGAUAUUCAGUAUGAAGAAAUCCGCUUAAAGAUAGGGGGUGAAGAAUCGCUUGAGAUGGUUUCGUCAUGAGCAGAGAAGAGUGAUUAAUGCACCAAUGAAGAAAAGUGAGUUAUUUGAGUCAAGUCUAUUAAGGAUCUAUAGCCAACCUCAAAGUUUUUAGACUAAGAGUUGAUUAUUGUAUCUUAGGUAGACUUCCAUAUUUGCAUAAUCUUCAAAUUUGAGGAGAGGAAAGUAACAGAACUAUGUAUCUAGCACGAAAAGAUGAUGUUCUUUCAAUAGAAGGAUUAAAAACCUUUUGCGUAAUCCUCUAAUGUCAUUUUUUUUGUUGGGGGUGAGAUAGAGAGAGAGAGAAAUCAAAAUCUUAAGCUAUUAAGUAAAGCAAGAAAGCCUAUGACAUCAAAUCAAGAAUAAGACAUAAGCUAUCCUUUGUCUCAAGUAUAAGCUAUCAGACCAAUAACUCGUUUAUUAAAUAAGGAAUUAUCAAACAGUAAGUGCACAAGGACACAUUCAAGAAAAGGUGCAUUUCAGAUUUUCAACUCCAAUCAGUAAUAUCAAACAGAAAGUGCGAAACAGCACAAAGUACAUAUUCAAGAAAAGAUGCUCCUGAUAUUUCUACAAAAUUGCAUUAAAGAAAAUUAACAAAAUUUCUUUGAUUUAGAUUUUUAUUCUGGAACGAAGAAUAUUAAAGAAAAAUAAUCCACUUAUUAAGCCUUAAACAAAAAUUUGCCAAUAUUGAGGCGAAAUUAUUCCAUAAUUUUUCAAUCAAAACGACAAAACCAGAAACCCGUUUCCUCUUAUAAUCCUUCACUUUCUCUCCAACCAAACAUGCAAAUAAACCAAACCCAGUUCACUUAUCAAUCAAACAAACGUAUCUCAAAAUCAGACAGCGCUUCAACACCCAAGAUAAAGAAAAACCCAAUUCUCAUUUUCAAUCAAACCAACCGAUUUACCAAUAGAAUCAUUGAAAGCAC